rnacentral:tRNA from 1 species
UGGCUCAGCUGGUAAAGCGCUUGCCUUGGAAGCAUGAAGGCCUGGGUUCGGCCCCCAG